AUUGAACGCUGGCGGCAGGCCUAACACAUGCAAGUCGAACGAGUGGCGGACGGGUGAGUAAUGUCUGGGAAACUGCCUGAUGGAGGGGGAUAACUACUGUAAAAGGUGGCUAAUACCGCAUACCAUCGGAUGUGCCCAGAUGGGCUUAGCUAGUAGGUGGGGUAAAGGCUCACCUAGGCGACGAUCCCUAGCUGGUCUGAGAGGAUGACCAGCCACACUGGAACGGAGACACGGCCCAGAGUCCUACGGGAGGCAGCAGUGGGGAAUAUUGCACAAUGGGCGCAAGCCUGAUGCAGCCAUGUCGCGUGUAUGAAGAAGGCCUUCGGGUUGUAAAGUACUUUCAGCGGGGAGGCGUUACCCGAAGAAGAAGCACCGGCUAACUCCGUGCCAGCAGCCGCGGUAAUUC
rnacentral:rRNA from 1 species